GCCAGAAAGUGAAUGUAGUCUUCAUAGUGACCACAUCACACGCUAUAGAAGCAGCAUUGUCACAGAUUCCAAACAGUUUUACAAAUAGUUUCUAUCAACUUGGACUGAAUGUAAGUACAAAUCAAGUGGUCUGGACAAUUGAGGGUAGUUAAUCAUCUUUUAACCACUUGUUCAUAAUGGUGUAGUGACCACGUAUUACAUUUUUAGAUCUAGACGAGAAAAACAUUUUUGCACCAUUUUAUCAAAGUUGCUACUGACUUGUAGUUGGUCAAACACCGUGUAACAUACAUGUCUAUUGAUAAUCAUUAGUUCUGUGCUGUGUUGAAUUCCUGUCUUGUGUUGACCUUUGGACCUGAGGGAACACACAUACUCUCUCUGUAUUUAUUCCUGUCUUCAUAGAUAACAUGACAGUGGUCUCCUUCACUCAUCGGCACCUGGGAUUAAAAGGCUGUCAUGUGACUUGGGUGAAGACUAAUUGUGUUUGCCUGAAAGCAGACUCCUCCUCUCACUGAUGGAGCGCAGGCGCGUGGACUGCGUUAUAGUGACUAUUCCUGUCAAGAGAGCUAAAACAGAAGAAGAACUCCUCUCCGUAUGCCAAAGAUAAGUUGGUACACGAGGCGUGUGCUGAGGGGCUGGGAAACCUGCGUCACCAUCAUUCUGCCACUCUAGUCAGAGAAGACAUCCUUUUUACUUGUUCUUUUUGUAUGCAAUGUUUUAGUUUUUGUCUUUCAAGGUCUGUUAUCGAAGCAUUCAUUCGAUGUUUGAGUUUAAUCUUUGACAGCAGUUGGGGGGUUGUGCAUGAUAGCUGCAGUUUGUUGAAGCUAA